rnacentral:rRNA from 1 species
UACGUAGGGUGCGAGCGUUAAUCGGAAUUACUGGGCGUAAAGGGUGCGCAGGCGGUUAUAUAAGACAGAUGUGAAAAUCCCCGGGCUCAACCUGGGAACUGCGUUUGUGACUGUAUGACUAGAGUACGGUAGAGAGGGGUGGAAUUCCUGGUGUAGCAGUGAAAUGCGUAGAUAUCAGGAGGAACACCGGUGGUGUAGACGGCUUUCUGGACCGUAACUGGACGCUGAAACACGAAAGCGUGGGUAGCAAACAGG